rnacentral:rRNA from 1 species
UACGAAGGGGGCUAGCGUUGCUCGGAAUUACUGGGCGUAAAGGGCGCGUAGGCGGACAGUUAAGUCAGAGGUGAAAGCCCAGGGCUCAACCCUGGAAUUGCCUUUGAUACUGGCUGUCUUGAGUGCGGGAGAGGUGUGUGGAACUCCGAGUGUAGAGGUGAAAUUCGUAGAUAUUCGGAAGAACACCAGUGGCGAAGGCGACACACUGGCCCGUAACUGACGCUGAGGCGCGAAAAGCCGUGGGGGAGCAAACAGG